rnacentral:rRNA from 1 species
GAUGAACGCUAGCUAUAGGCUUAACACAUGCACGUCGAGGGUCCGGCGCACGGGUGAGUACCGCGUAUCCAACCUGCCCAUAACUACGGGAUAACCCAGCAAAAGUUUGACUAAUACCUUAUUGUUAUGGAUUGGGAUGCGUCUGAUUAUCUUGUUGGCGGUGUAACGGCCCACCAAGGCAACGAUCAGUAGGGGUUCUGAGCGCAAGGUCCCCCACAUUGGAACUGAGACACGGUCCAAACUCCUACGGGACGCAGCAGUGAGGAAUAUUGGUCAAUGGACGCAAGUCUGAACCAGCCAAGGAGCGGUCAGGAUGACGGCCUAUGGGUUGUAAACUGCUUUUAUAUGGGGAUAGGUACCAUAUGAAUAAGGACCGGCUAAUUCCGUGCCAGCAGCCGCGGUAAUAC